AUUUGGGAACACCACAGAGGUGAAGUGCUCUCAUCACACAAUAUCAGAGACAGAUACAUUGAUAACUCCAUUUGUGGGUUUAAUAGACCACAACUUCCAGGCCCAGCCGAAUCCUGCUGAAGUUAAGGAUGUAUUUCUGGUGCCUCUGGCCUAUUUCCUGCAUCCACAGGUCCAUGACCAGCAUUACGUCACACGUCUUGGUCACCGUUUUAUUAAUCAUAUCUUUGAGUACACAAACCCUGAAGAUGGUGUCACUUACCAGAUCAAGGGAAUGACGGCAAACCUUGCAGUGUUGGUGGCAUUUAUCAUUUUGGAAAAAAAACCCACCUUUGAGGUUCAAUUUAAUCUUAAUGAUGUAUUAUCAUCCUCUGAAGAGUUAUUCCUGAAGGUUCAUAAAAAAGCUACAAGCAAGUUAUGAUUUACGAGACCAAGAGACAAAGAACUAUCCACGAGGAUUCUGUGUGUGCUUAUUCAUAGAACAACAAUAAUGACAGCUGUUGGAAUUUGACAGGUGUGAAUAUUUUUUCUGCAGUAUGUAGUUAGAAUCUUUGCCUCUUUUCCAGUUGCCUUCUAUUGUCUGAAAAAGUAAAAGCCAUUCAAAAAUGAAAAAUAUGUUCAUAGUGUUGCAUAUUUUCACCCACAAUAUGUUAAUAAUAUUUUUCUUACACAUAUAAGAAAGAAUAUCUGGCACGUAGUAGGCCCUUAAUAAAGAUUUUUUGAAUAUA
rnacentral:sRNA from 1 species